AUUGAACGCUGGCGGCAUGCCUUACACAUGCAAGUCGAACGGCAGCAUGGGUGCUUGCACCUGAUGGCGAGUGGCGAACGGGUGAGUAAUACAUCGGAACGUACCUUAUCGUGGGGGAUAACGCAGCGAAAGCUGUGCUAAUACCGCAUACGCCCUGAGGGGGAAAGCGGGGGAUCGAAAGACCUCGCGCGAUUAGAGCGGCCGAUGCCUGAUUAGCUUGUUGGUGGGGUAAAAGCCCACCAAGGCGACGAUCAGUAGCUGGUCUGAGAGGACGGUCAGCCACACGGGGACUGAGACACGGCCCAGACUCCUACGGGAGGCAGCAGUGGGGAAUUUUGGACAAUGGGGGCAACCCUGAUCCAGCAAUGCCGCGUGAGUGAAGAAGGCCUUCGGGUUGUAAAGCUCUUUUGUCAGGGAAGAAACACCGGCUCUAACACAGUCCGGGAAUGACGGUACCUGAAGAAUAAGCACCGGCUAACUACGUGCCAGCCGCCGCAGUAAGAC
rnacentral:rRNA from 1 species